UAAAAUUUAAAGUACCAAAGACAGUAGGAGCAAAUUUUGCAUAACUUAUAUUCCUACCGAGGACUUAUUUAUUUCAUUUUAGGAAUUAUAAGGUCUUUUCUUAGUCUUUGGCUUGGAAAGACCUUUUAAUUUUA
rnacentral:sRNA from 1 species